GUCUACGGCCAUAUCACCCUGAACGCACCCACUCUCAUCCGGUCUUAGAAGCUAAGUAGGGUUGGGCCUGGUUAGUACUUGGAUGGGGGACUAUAUUAAUCAGGCUGGGCU
ensembl:rRNA 5S_rRNA 5S ribosomal RNA